rnacentral:snRNA from 1 species
AUACCUUUAUCGGCCUUUUGCUAAGAUAUAAUGUAAUAUUUGUUCUUAUUAGUUCAAUAUAUGAUAUGUGGACUAUAUGUUCACUUUGAUAUUAAAUAUUUUUAUGGGUUUUAAAUAUGAUUAUGUGUCGUCGCACGCAACACACGGGCAUAGUACUAGUU